rnacentral:rRNA from 1 species
AGAGUUUGAUCCUGGCUCAGAUUGAACGCUGGCGGUAUGCUUAACACAUGCAAGUCGAACGGAAACGAUACUAGCUUGCUAGUAGGCGUCGAGUGGCGGACGGGUGAGUAACGCGUAGGAAUCUGCCUGAUAGUGGGGGAUAGCCCGAAGAAAUUCGGAUUAAUACCGCAUAAUCUAUUCGUAGUAAAGUGGGGGACUUUUAAGCCUCACGCUAUCAGAUGAGCCUGCGUAAGAUUAGCUAGUUGGUAGGGUAAAAGCCUACCAAGGCAACGAUCUUUAGCUGGUCUGAGAGGAUGAUCAGCCACAUCGGGACUGAGACACGGCCCGAACUCCUACGGGAGGCAGCAGUGGGGAAUAUUGGACAAUGGGGGCAACCCUGAUCCAGCAAUACCGCGUGUGUGAAGAAGGCCUGAGGGUUGUAAAGCACUUUCAAUUGUGAAGAAAAGCUAGCGGUUAAUAGCCGUUAGCCUUGACGUUAACUUUAGAAGAAGCACCGGCUAACUCCGUGCCAGCAGCCGCGGUAAUACGGAGGGUGCAAGCGUUAAUCGGAAUUACUGGGCGUAAAGCGUGCGUAGGCGGUUUAUUAAGUCAGAUGUGAAAGCCCCGGGCUUAACCUGGGAACUGCAUUUGAAACUGGUCAACUAGAGUAUGGUAGAGGAAAGUGGAAUUUCUGGUGUAGCGGUGAAAUGCGUAGAUAUCAGAAGGAACAUCAAUGGCGAAGGCAGCUUUCUGGACCAAUACUGACGCUGAGGUACGAAAGCGUGGGUAGCAAACAGGAUUAGAUACCCUGGUAGUCCACGCCGUAAACGAUGAUAACUAGCCGUUGGGGGGAUUUACCCUUUAGUGGCGAAGCUAACGCGUUAAGUUAUCCGCCUGGGGAGUACGGCCGCAAGGUUAAAACUCAAAGGAAUUGACGGGGACCCGCACAAGCGGUGGAGCAUGUGGUUUAAUUCGAUGCAACGCGAAGAACCUUACCUGGUCUUGACAUCCUGCGAACUUUCUAGAAAUAGAUUGGUGCCUUCGGGAACGCAGUGACAGGUGCUGCAUGGCUGUCGUCAGCUCGUGUCGUGAGAUGUUGGGUUAAGUCCCGUAACGAGCGCAACCCCUAUCCUUAUUUGCCAGCACGUCAUGGUGGGAACUAUAAGGAGACUGCCGGUGAUAAACCGGAGGAAGGCGGGGACGACGUCAAGUCAUCAUGGCCCUUACGACCAGGGCUACACACGUGCUACAAUGGGAAGGACAAAGAGCCGCGAAGCCGCGAGGUGUAGCUAAUCUCAGAAACCUUUUCGUAGUCCGGAUUGGAGUCUGCAACUCGACUCCAUGAAGUCGGAAUCGCUAGUAAUCGUAGAUCAGAAUGCUACGGUGAAUACGUUCCCGGGUCUUGUACACAC